UCCUAAUCAAACACAUUUCAAAUUUCAAACUUAUCUUUCUCUCUCUAUCUCUCUCUCUCUCUCUCACACACACACAAAUUCCCUAUGAACCAAGAUCCAAAUUUGCUCUCUAAUUCUCUCUCUAUUCACCCUUGAAUCAAUGAAAAAGAACAUCAUGGCUUCACAAUAAACUCCAUCUAUUCGAUCUGGGGUUCAGAUUUCAGAACUUCACAAUAAACUCCAUCUUUUCCCCAAAUCACCAACAAUGCUAUUCAGAAACCCUAAAUCAAACUCUCUGGAAAACAACAACUAGCGUCAGAAAAUGGGAGGCUUAUUGUCAUCAACCGUCGGACAUCCGCCGCCCAUAGUGCUGGUUCCCCCGCUCUUCGAUUUCCCUCCGCUUGCUGCCCGCACCAAGUUUCUCUAUAUCUUCGUUCAAGAUUCUUUUGUUUGAGUUGUUUUGAAACAUGAGUUAGAUCGGUUGGAUAACUGAUGAUUGAUUACCACUUGACAGUUAUGAUUACCAAUUGACAGUGAUGAUUCUAUGGAUAUCAACGUCUUCUCAUAGGUUUAUGAUGAUGUUGACGAUGCACGGAACUUAGUAGGAUGCCUAGAAACGCAUUAUAAAAUUUAAAUACUUGUU